AGAGAUGGAUUGGUGCCUUCGGGAACUCUGACACAGGUGCUGCAUGGCUGUCGUCAGCUCGUGUCGUGAGAUGUUGGGUUAAGUCCGUAACGAGCGCAACCCUUGUCCUUAGUUACCAGCACGUUAUGGUGGGCACUCUAAGGAGACUGCCGGUGACAAACCGGAGGGAAGGUGGGGAGUGACGUCAAGUCAUCAUGGCCCUUACGGCCUGGGCUACACACGUGCUACAAUGGUCGGUACAAAGGGUUGCCAAGCCGCGAGGUGGAGCUAAUCCCAUAAAACCGAUCGUAGUCCGGAUCGCAGUCUGCAACUCGACUGCGUGAAGUCGGAAUCGCUAGUAAUCGUGAAUCAGAAUGUCACGGUGAAUACGUUCCCGGGCCUU
rnacentral:rRNA from 1 species